rnacentral:rRNA from 1 species
AUUGAACGCUGGCGGCAUGCCUUACACAUGCAAGUCGAACGGUAACGGGCCCUUCGGGAUGCCGACGAGUGGCGAACGGGUGAGUAAUAUAUCGGAACGUGCCCAGUAGUGGGGGAUAACUGCUCGAAAGAGCAGCUAAUACCGCAUACGACCUGAGGGUGAAAGGGGGGGAUCGCAAGACCUCUCGCUAUUGGAGCGGCCGAUAUCAGAUUAGCUAGUUGGUGGGGUAAAGGCCUACCAAGGCAACGAUCUGUAGUUGGUCUGAGAGGACGACCAGCCACACUGGGACUGAGACACGGCCCAGACUCCUACGGGAGGCAGCAGUGGGGAAUUUUGGACAAUGGGCGCAAGCCCGAUCCAGCAAUGCCGCGUGCAGGAAGAAGGCCUUCGGGUUGUAAACUGCUUUUGUCAGGGAAGAAAUCUUCUGGGCUAAUACCCCGGGAGGAUGACGGUACCUGAAGAAUUAGCACCGGCUAACUACGUGCCAGCCGCCGCCGUAA